rnacentral:lncRNA from 1 species
UUAACAUCAUCAUUCAUUUCUGAACUCUAUGCAUAUAUAAGCACUUCACUUCACAGAGCAAAGACACAAUCUGAGGCAUGGGUUCAACAGGUGAGACUCAGAUUACUCCAACCCAUGUAUCUGAUGAAGAGGCAAACCUUUUCGCCAUGCAACUAGCCAGUGCCUCAGUACUCCCUAUGGUUCUCAAAUCAGCUCUUGAGCUUGAUCUGUUGGAAAUCAUAGCCAAGGCUGGCCCUGGUGUUCACCUUUCCCCCUCCGACAUUGCUUCUCGGCUCCCAACACACAACCCUGAUGCACCCGUUAUGUUGGACCGUAUAUUGCGCCUCUUGGCUUGCUACAAUAUCCUCUCUUUUUCUCUUCGCACUCUCCCUCAUGGCAAGGUUGAGAGGCUCUAUGGUCUCGCCCCUGUUGCUAAGUACUUGGUCAGGAACGAAGAUGGUGUCUCCAUUGCUGCUCUCAACCUCAUGAACCAGGACAAAAUCCUCAUGGAAAGCUGGUAUCUCACUUUUUCUCACUCUUUGUCUUUAUCUUUUCCAUGAACUGAAUUCCAUAUUCUAAAAUUUGCCGAUUGUCAUCUUUUUUUAUUUUAGGAAGAUUACAUUUAGUAGGCAUGCCUAUGUUUUAGGAAGAUUGUUUUGUUAUGGGAGCAAUAGAAGGGAAGAAAAGAAAAGGGAGAGUAAGGGUAUCAGGGAAGUUAAACCUUUUACUGAGAGUUGAAAGUUAAAAUAAAAGGAACUGUUAUUAACUUAAAUUAUGUGUAUGUAUCAAUACAUAACUAAAUUAAUUAAAAUGCAUAAUUGGUUGUAUGAUAAAUUAUUUGAUUUAAGAAUUUUGUAUCACUAUGACACGGUUGUGUUCUUGUAGGUACUAUUUGAAAGAUGCAGUCCUUGAAGGGGGUAUUCCAUUUAACAAAGCAUAUGGAAUGACAGCCUUUGAAUACCAUGGAACGGAUCCAAGGUUUAACAAGGUUUUCAACAAGGGGAUGGCUGAUCACUCUACCAUUACAAUGAAGAAAAUUCUUGAGACCUACACAGGCUUUGAGGGACUUAAAUCCCUGGUUGAUGUUGGUGGAGGAACUGGAGCUGUAGUCAACAUGAUUGUCUCAAAGUAUCCCACUAUUAAGGGCAUUAAUUUUGAUUUGCCCCAUGUCAUUGAAGAUGCCCCAUCUUAUCCAGGUAUCUUAAAUUGAAUCAUCAUCAUGUCAAAUUUAGAGGUCCUGCUUAUAUUAGAUCACUUACCAUUGUCAAUUAGUCAUAAGUUGUUAUAUGUUGGUUAAUAUUGUUUGACUAAUGGUUACCUAACAUCAAAAUUGGCAUUGAUAUUUUUUAUUAGGAGUGGAACAUGUUGGUGGAGAUAUGUUUGUCAGUGUUCCAAAAGCUGAUGCUAUUUUUAUGAAGGUGAAUUUUAAAAUCUGAAUCCAUUCCAUUGUCUUACCAACUCUAGAAAUUAAAGGCCUUUCAAGGUUUUCUUUUCUCAAUCAAGUUUUGAGCCGUUACUUUUUGGUACCACAAAAUCAUGUUUCACUUGUUUAUGUUAAUGACUUGUGAUAUCAUUUACACAUUCAGUGGAUUUGCCACGAUUGGAGUGAUGAGCACUGCUUGAAGUUUUUGAAGAACUGCUAUGAGGCACUACCAGAUAAUGGGAAAGUGAUUGUGGCGGAAUGCAUUCUUCCGGUGGCUCCAGACUCUAGCUUGGCCACAAAGGGUGUGGUUCACAUCGAUGUGAUCAUGUUGGCUCACAAUCCAGGUGGGAAAGAGAGAACAGAGAAAGAGUUUGAGGCUCUGGCCAAAGGCUCUGGAUUCCAAGGUUUCCAAGUCCUGUGCUGUGCUUUCAAUACCUACGUCAUGGAAUUUCUCAAAAAGGUUUAAGUUCUUUGGCGUGGAUUCAUAUCAAGUUGCAUUUGGAUUUUGACUUUGAGACUCUGCUUGGGGUGCUACUUACGAAUGUUUUCCCGGAAAAACGUAAAUUUCUUCUAAUGCUUUAUGAAAAGAAUAACGAACAAGUUCAAUGUAUACCGCCUUUAUAAAAUAAUAACAAGUUUCAUAUUGUGGUUCUGGUUCAUAUAUAGUUCUAGCUACGCGUUCUCUUAAGUGCCAACCCUUAUAGGAGAAAUUUGUUGUUGUUUUUCCAUUCUAUUUCUAGCCAUCCAAACAACAUGUUUUUUUACUCUAUUUUCCUCUAUUUAUAUGGUUCAUAUUUAUGUCCCAUUUAUAUCACUCCUAAUUCAAACACAAAAUUAAGAUGUCAUCCAUGUACAGUGCCAUGAUCAAAAUUUCACCGAUUAAUUAUUAAGCAUCAUAGCAUCGACAUCCUUCCACCAAUUGCACAUAUAUUGUACUACUCUGUCAAUCCACCAAUAUAUUGUUAGUGACGCCCAUCCUCAACCUCAGCUUCCUUUGUGUUGCAUCCAGACAAGCCCGUGAGUAAUCAAGUCAAUAGGAAAGUGAAUAAUUAAACUCAUUUCUUACGGUGAUUCAUUUCCAAUAUUGAAGUUUAAUCUUUUUCCAAUAGUCCAUCCAAAUCCCUCUUUAUUGUUGAAAACAUAGGUGAAUUAAUUUAUAUUUCCUCAAAUUGUCCACACAAUAGAAUACCACACCACUUGGAAUCUAGUUACAUUUGAUGCAUCACAAUUAAUAAUUCCUCUAAAUUAAAAAUAAUAAAAAUGCACUUUGUUGAGUGAUAAUUAUAAAAUAUGAACUAAUUUGAUAAUCAAUUUUAGCUAAUAAAUGGGUGUAAUUUAUAUACUUUAUUAUUAUUUUUAAGGAAAUCAUGAAAAAAUUAACAUCUUUGUAAUUUUUUAUUAACAGAAUUCAAAAGAAAAAAAUUUCAAGUGCUUUAUAGCGUCCCACUCAGGCUUAACACGUAACUUAGACUUAACGUGCGAAAAGGCACACAACGAACCUUAAAGUGCGCUUAGCGUGAAAGCUCGCGUUAAGCGCGAAGUCAGCGUGAAAAAGUAAAUUAAGUAUAUAUAAAGAGGAGGAAGUAGAAGGAAAAAAGACACUGAGUAUCAAGACUAUCCAAAGCCUCGGGCCUCUUCCCUAGGGGAAAUCCUUUUUCUUAUUCAUUCCCCUUUUUCUUGACUUGUUCUAUUAGUCUUUUUAACCGUAAAGUCUCUCAUCAUGAGAGACUAAACUCUCUCAAUUGGAGCCGAGUAGCCAAAGUCCCUUAUAAUAUAACUGUUAUUCUUAUUUAUUAAUGUAAUUUUAAUUUCUAUUAUUAUUUUCUUUGAGAUAAAAUAAUUAUGAGUCAGUGUCCCACCACCAAAACUCAAACACUAUCUCCAAACCUUUUUAAAAAUACUUGUAUUAUUAUACAAGCUACUUCCUUAUUACAUCCUAUUCCUAUACCCAUAUUGACAUUGUUUGGUAUAAUUCUUCCACAUGCUAAAUUCGACAAGGUCGAUAUCCGGUUUGGAGACAAUUUCAAACAAAAGAUUGUACCUUUGUGGAGACUCCUUUCAAACAUAAAAAUAGAAUCAGGUGAAAAAUAAAUCAUUAUAACCUUAUAUGUCUUCUCUUAAUAUUUGAUGCAUAAGCAUAACAAAAAGACAUAAACUAUUCAAGUACAAUCUCGAUUGACGUAUGUACGAACGAUCUUUGUGGGGCCAUGGUGGGGUGGUUGGGGGCAGGAAACAAGGAUAGAUGGGUGGGCCAUUAAAUCAUUGCUAAAUAUCUAUGCAUAUAUAACCAGUUCACUUGGCACCUUUGUGGUCACAAGCUCACAGAGCAAAAACAUUCAUUCCAAUAUACAAAAUCUUGAAUCAUGGGUUCAUUAGGUGAGACUCAGAUUACUCCAACCCACGUAUCUGAUGAAGAGGCAAACCUUUUCGCCAUGCAACUAGCCAGUGCCUCAGUACUCCCUAUGGUUCUCAAAUCAGAUCUUGAGCUUGAUCUGUUGGAAAUCAUAGCCUAGGCUGGCCCUGGUGUUCACCUUUCCCCCUCCGACAUUGCUUCUCGGCUCCCAACACACAACCCUGAUGCACCCGUUUUGUUGGACCGCAUAUUGCGCCUCUUGGCUUGCUAUAAUAUCCUCUCUUUUUCUCUUCGCACUCUCCCUCAUGGCAAGGUUGAGAGAGAGAGACUCUAUGGUCUUGCCCCUGUUGCUAAGUACUUGGUCAGGAACGAAGAUGCUGUCUCCAUUGCUGCUCUCAACCUCAUGAACCAGGACAAAGUCCUCAUGGAAAGCUGGU